GGGGGGAAGCCCUUUGGGGCGAAGUAGCUGAUUUCACACUGUCAAGAAAAGCUUCUAUCGAGUUUAAAGGCGCCCGUACCGUAAACCGACACAGGUGGGUGAGGAGAGUAUCCUAAGGCCAGCGAGAGAACUAUUGUUAAGGAACUCGGCAAAAUGACCCCGUAACUUAGGGAGAAGGGGUGCCUGUCUAUGACAGGCCGCAGAGAAUAGGCCCAAGCGACUGUUUACCAAAAACACAGGUUUCUGCUAAGUCGCAAGACGAUGUAUAGGAGCUGACGCCUGCCCGGUGCUGGAAGGUUAAGGGGAUCUGUUAGAGCAAUCGAAGCAGUGAACUUAAGCCCCAGUAAACGGCGGCCGUAACGAUAACGGUCCUAAGGUAGCGAAAUUCCUUGUCGGGUAAGUUCCGACCCGCACGAAAGGCGUAACGAUUUGGGCACUGUCUCAACAAUAGACUCGGUGAAAUUGUAAUCCCGGUGAAGAUGCCGGGUACCUGCGACAGGACGGAAAGACCCCAUGGAGCUUUACUGUAGCUCGACGUUGGGUCUUGGUACUACAUGUACAGGAUAGGUGGGAGACUAUAAAGCAUGGACGCCAGUCUGUGUGGAGUCAUCCUUGGGAUACCACCCUUGUAGUACUGGGAUCCUAACCAUAGGCCUUGAAUCAGGUCUUGGAACACCGUCAGGUGGGCAGUUUGACUGGGGCGGUCGCCUCCUAAAAAGUAACGGAGGCGCUCAAAGGUUUCCUCAGCACGGUCGGAAAUCGUGCGAAGAGUGUAAAGGCAAAAGGAAGCUUGAUUGCAAGACAUACAGGUCGAGCAAGGACGAAAGUCGGACUUAGUGAUCCGGUGGUACCGCAUGGAAGGGCCAUCGCUCAACGGAUAAAAGCUACCCUGGGGAUAACAGGCUUAUCUCCCCCAAGAGUCCACAUCGACGGGGAGGUUUGGCACCUCGAUGUCGGCUCAUCACAUCCUGGGGCUGUAGUAGGUCCCAAGGGUUGGGCUGUUCGCCCAUUAAAGUGGUACACGAGCUGGGUUCAGAACGUCGUGAGACAGUUCGGUCCCUAUCCGUCGCAGGCGUAGGAAAUUUGAGAAGACCAGUCCUUAGUACGAGAGGACCGGGAUGGACGUACCUCUGGUGUACCAGUUGUUCUGCCAAGGGCAUGGCUGGGUAGCUAUGUACGGAAUGGAUAAGCGCUGAAAGCAUCUAAGCGCGAAGCCAACUUCAAGAUAAGAUUUCCCACCGUAAGGGUAAGACCCCAGGAAGACUACCUGGUUGAUAGGUCGAAGGUGUAAGUGCAGUAAUGUAUUUAGCUUAUCGAUACUAAUAGGUCGAGGACUUGAUC
rnacentral:rRNA from 1 species